UUUUUUUUUUUUUUUUUUUUGCUAGUUUGCUACUCUUAUUUGACUAAUUUUUAUGGAUGAUAAUGCAUACAGGAUCUGCUUACUACAUAUUCAAAGAAGACACACCUCCUUGCAUAUUUGGCUUAGUUGAGAAGCAUAGAUGGUUGUAUGCAUCUGCCCAAUAAUUGAUAGAGAGGCUAAUAUACGCCGAGGGUGUAGUGAACGGUCUUGUGUUCAAGAUAGCAAGACCUUUUAAUUGGAUUGGCUCAAGGAUGGAUUUCAAUCCAGGAAUCGAUGGUCCCAGUGAGGAUGUAUCAAGGGUUCUGGCAGCAAUGAUACACUUACUAUAGCAAUUCUUCCCAGCAUCUCAUGGAUGCAAAUUAUAGUCCUAAAGCAGAGAGUAUAUGGAUUUGAAGAAAACCACCUAGAAAUAGUUCCUAGUAUGUGUAGUCAUUUUCGUUUGCAACUUUUGUAGAUAGGUUUCGGUUAGAAAUGUGCGUCUAUAGUAUUUCAAUUGUAAACUUACAUAU
rnacentral:lncRNA from 1 species